rnacentral:rRNA from 1 species
GGGUGAGUAACACGUGGGCAACCUGCCGGACUGAUGGGAAUAACCCCGGGAAACCGGGGCUAAUGCCCAAUACGCCCUGACCUCGCCUGAGGUCAGCGGUAAAGCAGGGAUCUUCGGAUCCUUGCACAGUCCGAUGGGCCCGCGGCGCAUUAGCUAGUUGGAGAGGUAAGGGCUCCCCAAGGCGACGAUGCGUAGCCGACCUGAGAGGGUGAUCGGCCACACUGGGACUGAGACACGGCCCAGACUCCUACGGGAGGCAGCAGUAGGGAAUCAUCCGCAAUGGGCGAAAGCCUGACGGUGCAACGCCGCGUGAGUGAUGAAGGUUUUCGGAUCGUAAAGCUCUGUUGACAGGGAAGAACCCACGCCAGUCGAACAGGCUGGCGUGCUGACGGUACCUGUCCAGAAAGCCCCGGCUAACUACGUGCCAGCAGCCGCGGUAAUACGUAGGGGGCAAGCGUUGUCCGGAAUUAUUGGGCGUAAAGGGCACGCAGGCGGUUUCGUCAGUCCGAUGUGACAGGCCACGGCUCAACCGUGGAAGGCCAUUGGAAACUGCGAAACUUGAGGACAGAAGAGGAGAGUGGAAUUCCACGUGUAGCGGUGAAAUGCGUAGAUAUGUGGAGGAACACCAGUGGCGAAGGCGACUCUCUGGUCUGUACCUGACGCUGAGGUGCGAAAGCAUGGGGAGCAAACAGGAUUAGAUACCCUGGUAGUCCAUGCCGUAAACGCUGAGUGCUAGGUGUUAGGGGUUUCGAUACCCGUAGUGCCGAAGCUAACGCAUUAAGCACUCCGCCUGGGGAGUACGACCGCAAGGUUGAAACUCAAAGGAAUUGACGGGGGCCCGCACAAGCGGUGGAGCAUGUGGUUUAAUUCGACGCAACGCGAAGAACCUUACCAGAUCUUGACAUCUUCCGCUACGCCUCGAGAGAGGCGGUUCCCCUUCGGGGGACGGAAUGACAGGUGGUGCAUGGUUGUCGUCAGCUCGUGUCGUGAGAUGUUGGGUUAAGUCCCGCAACGAGCGCAACCCCUAAUCUUAGUUGCCAGCAUUCAGUUGGGCACUCUAAGGUGACUGCCGGUGACAAACCGGAGGAAGGUGGGGAUGACGUCAAAUCAUCAUGCCCCUUAUGAUCUGGGCUACACACGUGCUACAAUGGAUGGUACAACGGGAUGCGAACCCGCGAGGGGGAGCCAAUCCAGAAAAGCCAUUCUCA